UACGGGGGGGGCAAGCGUUGUUCGGAAUUACUGGGCGUAAAGGGUUCGUAGGUGGCUUGCUAAGUCAGACGUGAAAUCCCUCAGCUUAACUGGGGAACUGCGUCUGAUACUGGCGAGCUUGAGUGCAGGAGAGGAACGCAGAAUUCCAGGUGUAGCGGUGAAAUGCGUAGAUAUCUGGAGGAAUACCGGUGGCGAAGGCGGCAUCCUGGACCGACAUUGACGCUGAGGCGCGAAAGCUAGGGUAGCAAACGGG
rnacentral:rRNA from 1 species